CGCUGAACUUAAGCAU
rnacentral:rRNA from 2 species